GUUUAUUUUCUCUCUAUCACAUUUACAUCACCUGCCUUAUUUUCAACAUCAUAUUCAUCAUGACAUCAAGUCAUCCAUCCACUUGAUGUCACAGACAGACAUAAGCAAUAAAACAAAUCUCUCUUCUACACAUAAUGAGAGAACAUCAAUCAAUCAAUUAACACGACCAAGAUAAUAAAGAAACACAAAAAAGGUCAGUUUCACUCCAGCAACAAUAAGGCUCGGUAAAGACAUGGCACAGCAGGAGAAAAACAUUUAGACAGUUAAAAAAUAAAGACAAACAGAUCAAAGACAGGUAAAACAGUGACAGAGACAAACAGAUCAAAGACAGGUAAAACAGUGACAGAGACAAACAGAUCAAAGACAGGUAAAACAGUGACAAAGACAAACAGAUCAAAGACAGGUAAAACAGCUAAAACAGUGACAAAGACAAACAGAUCAAAGACAGGUAAAACAGUGAGAAAGACAAACAGAUCAAAGACAGGUAAAACAGUCACAGAAAGACAAACAGAUCAAAGACAGGUAAAACAGUGACAAAGAUAAACAGAUCAAAGACAGGUAAAACAGUGAGAAAGACAAACAGAUCAAAGACAGGUAAAACAGUGACAGAAAGACAAACAGAUCAAAGACAGGUAAAACAGUGACAGAGACAAACAGAUCAAAGACAGGUAAAACAGUGACAAAGACAAACAGAUCAAAGACAGGUAAAACAGUGACAAAGACAAACAGAUCAAAGACAGGUAAAACAGGUAAAACAGUGACAAAGACAAACAGAUCAAAGACAGGUAAAACAGUGACAAAGACAAACAGAUCAAAGACAGGUAAAACAGGUAAAACAGUGACAAAGACAAACAGAUCAAAGACAGGUAAAACAGUGACAAAGACAAACAGAUCAAAGACAGGUAAAACAGUCACAGAAAGACAAACAGAUCAAAGACAGGUAAAACAGUGACAAAGACAAACAGAUCAAAGACAGGUAAAACAGUGACAAAGACAAACAGAUCAAAGACAG
ensembl:lncRNA